AACGAACGCUGGCGGCAUGCCUAACACAUGCAAGUCGAACGGGAUCCUAGCUUGCUAGGUGAGAGUGGCGGACGGGUGAGUAACACGUGGGAAUCUGCCUUUUGGUUCGGGAUAACCGCGGGAAACUGCGGCUAAUACCGAAUGCCCUCGAGAGAGGAAAGAUUUAUCGCCAGAAGAGGAGCCCGCGUCCGAUUAGGUAGUUGGUGGGGUAAAGGCCUACCAAGCCGACGAUCGGUAGCUGGUCUGAGAGGAUGAUCAGCCACACUGGGACUGAGAUACGGCCCAGACUCCUACGGGAGGCAGCAGUGGGGAAUAUUGGACAAUGGGGGCAACCCUGAUCCAGCAAUGCCGCGUGAGUGAUGAAGGCCUUAGGGUUGUAAAGCUCUUUUGCCAGGGAGAUGAUGACUGUACCUGGAGAAUAAG
rnacentral:rRNA from 1 species